rnacentral:ncRNA from 1 species
UUAAGGAGGACUACAGAGCCCUGGGAGAGGUGGUUAGGAGCUCUGGAAUAGGACUCCAGUUCUAUUUGGUUGGUUUUUGGAAACAGGGCCAUGAUUAAGAGGGACGGCUGGAGGCAUUUGUAUUGUGCAGCUAGGGGUGAAAUUCUUGGACUGGCACAAGACAGCCUGGAGCGAAAGCAUUUGCUAAGAAUGUUUAAUU